AUGGAUAUCAAAGAUUCACCUGUGAAGGGAGGUAUCUCUAUACUGCACACAGAGGAGGAUGGGAAACACCACUAUGAAGUGGAGAAGAUCCUCAAGUUCAAGAACGAGGGAGGAGCCUUCGCCAGAGAAGGAGACAAGCUCCUGACMAUCAAUGGAGUGGCCCUACAGGAUCUAUCCCCAGAGGCCUUCGCCAAGAUUCUGACGGAAGGAAACCCC